AUGCUAUCACUUUGGCAGCACAUAUACUGCAAUUGGAACAAUGUAGAGAAUAUCAGUAUGGCCCCUAUGCAAGAAAGACACAACAUUGGUGAAGUGUUCCAUAUUUAA